CGCAAGCACCGCACGCAGCCCCGGUUCCCGCCUGGGCCUCUCCCUCCACAACCCCCGCAAGCUGAGGGAGCCGGCCCCGGCCUUGGCCUGCCCAGAAAGGGGCUCCCACAGUGCAGCGGCAAGCUGAAGGGCUCGUCAAGUGCCGCCAAAGUGGGAGCCCAGGCAGAGGAGGUGCCGAGAGCGAGUGAGGGGUGUGAGGACUGCCAGCACGCUGUCACCUCUCACUUGGAUCCUGCAUAUGUACUUGGUUCAGCAGUCACACCUAAAGAUCUUGUAUAGUCUGAAAUUAUUAACGGUCAACUGGGUUUGAAGCUUCUAAAACCUACUUCAUUCCUUGGAUUAUGGCUUCCCUCUAUCUUCAAAGUAAGAGAAGAAAAUAAGUGCAACAUGCCAGAAAUCCAGUAAAGCAGUUCAAGUAUCAGAAGAGCGUGAAUCAAAACCAAGUGCAAGAAGAGGCACCUUGACAUUGAACUGAAGGCCACCAGGUACUCACUGGGUCAAUGACUCUUCUCAUUUUUAUUCUCCUGCCAGUGCUUCCAAUCGCUGAACUGAACUGGGAACAAAUCAACAAGGGAAACCAAGAGAUGCAUUCCUUGAAGUUCAGCCUCCAGGCCUCAAGUAAGGCAGAGGAAGAGAAUACAUAGAUCUGUGGAGAAGAGUGGUGAUGGUGGGAGCUGCCAAUAAAGAACUAUCAAAAAAGACGAAGUCUUUGUCGUCCAGGCUAGAGUGCAGCUGUGUGAUCUCAGCUCAUUGUAACCUCCACCUCCUGAUACAAGCAAUUCUUCUGCCUCAGCCUCCUGAGUAGGUGGGACUACAG
rnacentral:lncRNA from 1 species